UUUAUUUGCAUUUUGGUCCUUACAAUCACACAUCACCUUUAUGAUUCAUAAAUAUUUUCUCGUUUAUUGUUUUAAUUCUUAAAAAAAAUCUCAUAAAUAUUUUAUUUUUUUACAGAUUUUAAAUUUUACACAUAAAAUUAAAUAAAACUUUAAAAGAAGAUUUAAAAUAUUUUAUGCUAGAUUUAGACAACAACAAUAUACAAAACAAAACUUAACAAAAAGAUUUUAAAAAAUUACAUGAAGACAUAACUAUUACACAAAUUUAAAUAUUACAACAACAUUAAUAGUCAGUAAGUUUGAUCCGGAACCUUCAAAAUUUUCAAAUAUUGUCCAAAUUUUUUUGUGUAACUGAAAAUGGUUGUUGUUGUUGUUUUUGAUGUCUUUUUGUACAAUUAUUUCUUAUUUAUAUCGAACAUAUUCACGAGUAUUAAUAUAAUUGAAAGGAAAUUAGUCUUUUAGCAAUAUUUUAUGUUUAUCUUUUACUUUCUUGUUCCGGUCUAAUGUAUUUACAAGUAUCAAUAUUAUCUGAUUUCAACAACUUUUAGUUGGUAAUCUACAAAGUAAAAAUGAGGAGAGCCAUUUUUACUUCGAAAUGCACUAAUAGAUUAUAUAUGCAUUAGGAAAAUCAUUUUAUGAAAUAGUAUAGUAUUUUGUUUGAAGUUUAAUAUUAAUUAAGUUAUUUUUAUUUAAAUUUUUAUAUUCUAGUAAAAUAUUUUAUUAAUUAAUAUUGUUUCAAUAUGUUUAUAUAUGUGCUAGUUGUUUACAAAAGUUUUAUGAAUUCAAAUUAGUUAUGACAAAUAUAAGGACCAUAUUAUAAAAUAUAAAUAGUUUUGAAUUUGAGUUUAAAGUUGGGGAAUUGCCACUAAUACCACUUUCCUAAUACCACUUUUCAACUUUACACUUUUUAAUUUUACCAUUAAAAUUUUAAUUGGCAAAAUACAUUUAUACCCCUAACUAAUUAAGCCUAAGACUAACUCUUCUCUCUUACAUCUCACGAUAAUUAAAUCUCAUCAUCUCACAAAUCGGCGACGGAUUCCGGCGGUGCCGAGUUCUCCGGCGAGAUUGGAUGACUCUGCAGAGUUGUCCGGCGAGAUCCGACAAAGCUACGGCGAGAUCCGACGAAGCUACGGCGAGAUUCGACGAAGCUACGGCGAGAUCCGACGAAGCUACGGCGAGAUCCGACGAAGCUACGGCGAGAUCCGACGAAGCUACGGCGAGAUCGUACGAAGCUGCGGCGAGAUCCGACGAAGCUACGGCGAUUUCUCUCACGACGCUAAGAAACGCUAACAAAGGUUAUGAUGAUUGAACCAACGACGCUCCAGUGACCAUAUCCAAUUGCUCCGACCAAAUCUCGCUCCGGUGAACACCAACAAGCUCCGGUGAACACGAUCAACAAACUUAAAGAUAGUUUGUAUUUUGAAGAUCGACGAGGUUGGUGAGCUGUUUGAAGAAGUAAGAGGGACUCAGAACAAGAACGUGGUUUGUGAGAUCAAAGAAUUGCAGAUUUAUAAAGCUUUAUAAAAGUUGCAGAGUUGGCUUCUUAACACCAUCUUCUCUCUCAUUUUCUUCAGACAUCUCUUAUACUAAAACAAUCGUAUAUCUCUCCUAAGACUUGCAAAGUUGAAGAGGUUAGUUGGACAUCUAAGUGAAUUUGGCUGCAAUUGUUUUUUUUUUACAAAAGAGAAGAGUGUGAUGUGGAGAAACCUUGAUGUUCUCAGAUUAUGUUUGAAAUGACAACUUUUUGUUGAGAACAA